rnacentral:rRNA from 1 species
CCUACGGGGGGCAGCAGUGGGGAAUAUUGGACAAUGGGGGGAACCCUGAUCCAGCCAUGCCGCGUGUGUGAAGAAGGCCCUCGGGUUGUAAAGCACUUUCAGUGAGGAAGAACGCCUGGUGGUUAAUACCCAUCAGGAAAGACAUCACUCACAGAAGAAGCACCGGCUAACUCCGUGCCAGCAGCCGCGGAAUACGGAGGGUGCGAGCGUUAAUCGGAAUUACUGGGCGUAAAGCGCGCGUAGGUGGCUUGAUAAGCCGGUUGUGAAAGCCCCGGGCUCAACCUGGGAACGGCAUCCGGAACUGUCAAGCUAGAGUGCAGGAGAGGAAGGUAGAAUUCCCGGUGUAGCGGUGAAAUGCGUAGAGAUCGGGAGGAAUACCAGUGGCGAAGGCGGCCUUCUGGACUGACACUGACACUGAGGUGCGAAAGCGUGGGUAGCAAACAGGAUUAGAUACCCUAGUAGUC